rnacentral:rRNA from 1 species
UACGGAGGGGGCUAGCGUUGUUCGGAAUUACUGGGCGUAAAGCGCGCGUAGGCGGCUUUGUAAGUUAGAGGUGAAAGCCCGGAGCUCAACUCCGGAACUGCCUUUAAGACUGCAUCGCUAGAAUUGUGGAGAGGUGAGUGGAAUUCCGAGUGUAGAGGUGAAAUUCGUAGAUAUUACGGAAGAACACCAGUGGCGAAGGCGACUCACUGGACACAUAUUGACGUUGAGGUGCGAAAGCGUGGGGAGCAAACAGG